rnacentral:rRNA from 1 species
GGACCAAGGAGUCUAGCAUGUGCGCGAGUCAUUGGGAUAUUGACUAAACCUAAAGGCGCAAUGAAAGUGAAGGUCCGCCUUGCGCGGGCCGAGGGAGGAUGGGCGGUCCCGAGGGACCGCCUCGCACUCCCGGGGCGUCUCGUUCUCAUCGCGAGAAGAGGCGCACCCAGAGCGUACACGCUGGGACCCGAAAGAUGGUGAACUAUGCCUGGUCAGGACGAAGUCAGGGGAAACCCUGAUGGAGGUCCGUAGCGAUUCUGACGUGCAAAUCGAUCGUCGGAACUGGGUAUAGGGGCGAAAGACUAAUCGAACCAUCUAGUAGCUGGUUCCCUCCGAAGUUUCCCUCAGGAUAGCUGGCGCUCGCUUCUCGCGAGUCUCAUUCGGUAAAGCGAAUGAUUAGAGGCAUUGGGGUCGAAACGGCCUCAACCUAUUCUCAAACUUUAAAUGGGUGAGAUCUCCGGCUUGCUUGAACUGUGAAGCCGCGAGAUAUCGGAUCAGAGUGCCAAGUGGGCCACUUUUGGUAAGCAGAACUGGCGCUGUGGGAUGAACCAAACGCCGAGUUAAAGCGCCUAAAUCGACGCUUAUGGGAUACCAUGAAAGGCGUUGGUAACUUAAGACAGCAGG